GGGAAGGUCGUGCGAGGCGCCGCGGGAAGAGGAAACGGGGGAACGUGGUUCGGAAGCACUGGGCGUGAAGGGCGGGUAGGCGGGGGGCCAAGGAAGGGGUGAAAGCGUUCGGCUCAACCGGAAAACAGCGUCUGAUACUGGUCGUCUUGAGCGAGGUAGGGGCAUGUGGAACUGCCGGUGGAGCGGGGAAAUGCGUAGAUAUCGGAAGGAACGCCGGUGGCGAAAGCGACGUGCUGGACCUCUUCUGACGCUGAGGCGCGAAAGCUAGGGGAGCAAACGGGAUUAGAUACCCUAGUAGUC
rnacentral:rRNA from 1 species